GCUUUUCCGGAUGCUACGGCACUGUGCCGCGGCGUCGCCGCCGGUGAGAGAGAGAACCCUUUCGUCAGUUGGGUCUCGGCCGCCGUCAACGUCAAUACGACGAGGGCGCACGAGAGUAACAUCGUCGCCUCGGCUCCGGUUAGCGCCGAGGUCGCACACACUCGGCGUUCGUCGACGGGAGGAACGCGAGGAACCUGGCCAUUCGGCGCUACGUGUGUAUCUUUUCCCCGAUCGUAUCUUGCCGAUAUUUUCUUAUCAUUUUCAUUUUUUUUUCCGACGUACACUCCAUCUGAUCUCUUUGUCUUCUCUCUUUCUCUCUUCUCUCUCUCUCUCUCAUCUUUUUUCUCUCUUUCUCCUCCUUUCUCUCUAUCUUCCUUCAUGCUCUUCGAUACCUUCGCGUCCCGAUAUCAGUCGACCGGUGCAACGGUACUGCGUUUAUGUGCAUCGUGAGUGGCACCGAUAGUGGAUAAUGAGAGAUAGUGGAGGACCCAUCAAUCGGGUGUGAUCGGGUAAAAGGCUAGAAUUGCGUGCUCGAUGCAGUGUAUGCAACCGGCGAGGGUACGGCCGGUGGUUGCUGUUUCUUACGAUCCUCAUGGGAGUGCCCGCGAGUUCUGUCUCCGAGUGCGACGGCGGCGGCGAACACGCCGGAUGUGAAUAAUAGAAGAGAGAGAAUGCUCGACGUUAUUAGAGCGUCGGCCCAAUGUAUAAUAAUUCUACGAGACUUAUGUAUGAACGCAUACUUCUCAACGAUCGACAAUCAAUUUCGUGUUCUGUCCUGUAUCAUCGCACCAAGAGCUUCAUAUUCUUCGUUACCGGAAAUCAUCUAACACGUUAAAUUGCAUUCAGCUGAGCUUCAUCCUCGUACAAAGUAAAGAGAUAUUUUCUAGAAUUCGUAAAAUGAAAUGCAUAAUUUGAUGUAUGUGUAAUUACAAAGGUGAAAGCGUGUAAAUGUAUCGCGAAUGCAUGUGUAAUCGAAUAACGUUAUCCGGACGAGUGCAAAUUAAACUCUUAUUCGUGUCAGCUGAUCGUGAUGCGUGAUUGAGCGCAAAAGUCGACAAUAACAAAAUUUCGUUCUCUCGCCAACUUUUUUCGCACUGAUUCUGGUUCGGGUUAUCGUACAAAUAUCAAAAUGGAAAAUCUGUGCAUAAAAGUGCAUUUGAUCCGACAGUUACGUGACGCAGAAAAUUACUCGUGUUUGUUGACUGUGGAUAGAAACUACUAAAAUCUUUUGCGAUGCAUCGUGUGUUUUUAGCCACCUGAGAAAUGUGGGUAGGAACGAUUUAACGAGAGUGAUUAGAACUUAUCGAUGUUACGUUAACCGAAAGAGCAAUGUGGUAAUGAAGAAUUCGAAAUAAAUAUUGACACUGUAAAUAAACUGCUCUAAUUGAUUUUAUAAUUUAAUGUUUACUAUAUGAAAAAUUGAUUGAAAGAAUUUCUGACGAUUCCGACUUCGCGAUUCGCUAUAUCAAAACUAUUUUGCAUGAUAACAUCUGUUCGAUACGAUAUAAAGAAACUACGAUCACGCUGAUUGAAAUACAGAUAUAAAGAAGCAAAUUGUCGGUGUGAUCGUAUAGCUAGCAUAAUUUUAUAUAUCAUUAUUAUACACAAGAAGGAAAAUACAAUCGAUAAUAAUACAGUAGAUUCAACAAGUAAUAAUAGAUAAAAAUAGAUUCUAAAAAUUCAUGAAGAGAAAAAUGACUUAACGAUGAGGGAAUCUCUAUAUGAAAAUGUGGUCAGCAUUAUCUAAAUUAUAUUACAAAGAGUUUGCGGAAGAAUAUGCAAAUGCUUAGUUGCUAGCUUAGCUGCAAUUUUUCGUCUUAGAGUUUACCAAGUCGUGUUAAGUAUCCGACGAGUACGAGACAAAUUAAGAGCGACGAGAGAACUUGUUAGGUUAGACAUGCUCAGUUUAUACCUCGUUAUACUUGGAGUUACUUUGGACCUAAAAUAGACGAGUGGAAGUGUGCGUGAAUGUCGUGGAGAUGAGGAAAUAAGGAAAUAAAGACGUAAAAAUUCGUGCGCGAGAACAGCAUUAUUAGUUUUGACUUUCUUAUACGGAGGAUAUAAAUACGAGAGGAAUCUAAAAUUAUUCUAUAGUAUUUGGGAUAUUUAGUGAAGGUAUUAAAAAUAUAUGAAGCCAAAUUUUCGUGAGACUAAUGCACUAAUAAAAAGGACCGAUCUUUGUAAGACGCGAUAAUAUUAAUUUGACGACACAGAUUAAACACAUAUCAUAAGUGUAAAUCAAGAGUGUCAAGAGAGGAUGAGGGAAUUUAUGACAUGCGAGGCAAGGAUUUGAAAGCAGACAUUUUCCAUUAAUCAUUUUCUGGGAUAAAGGGCAAAGUUGCUUGUGGUUAGCAGCCUCGGGCAACGUUCAAAAUUUCCUUAUUUAAGGACUGAGGGGCAUAGAUGAAAAAGCUGCGGAUACAUUUAAUCAUGUGGGCAAGAGGACAGGAAGGCGAAGAGUGACAGAAGAUAACAAACAAAGUCAACAGUGACAUCAAACAAAGUGUUAAAGCAAAGGGCAACGUGCUGAUAAUUGUUUCAUUAAUCUAUGUUGCUAUUACGAGAUGAUAUACAACAAUGAACUCUGUGAAAGGAUCAACAUCGAGAGCAAAGAUAAAAUUUGAUAAACUGGGAUGUUCGUUGAAAAACGGGAGAUUUAAAGAUUUCUCGAUAUUUAGAAACAGGGGAGAUUUAAAGAUUCCUCAAUAUUUAAGAACACGAUUUGUGAAUGAUCUACAUGAAUCAUGCUGAUAUAAGAAAUAAUAAAUAACAAAUAAAUCCUUUAGAAAAAAAGUACAAUUUUUCCGGAAGCAAUGAUGGACGAUUUUUUAAGCUUCGUGUUCUUAAUUUCUUGAAAUAACGGAGUGUGCGACAGGAAAAUUGUCAUGGUAUCUAAAAGGUAAAUCUAUGUAUCAAGACGACCUAAGUAUGAUGCCAAGCGUAAUUUGAAUAUGAAUUUGUUUAAUGUGUACAAUGUUAAAUGUAUCAUGAUGGAAAUUUUAAUAGCUUUUCGAUAUUCAGUUGAUCCAUCGUGUAAAUUUGAUUGCCAGCAUACACAGAUAGAGACAAUUUCCCGAUAAUUGCCGAAGUAAACCGUUCUAUGAGACAGAAAAAAAAAACUGAAACAAGGAAGAAAUUAACAUUGUGUAUAUUUUUCAUGUUGAAGUUCUAUCACGCAAUUGUGGAAUAUCUGAUAAUGAGAGACAGAGAGAAAUAUAUGCUUCCUUAUUAGCAUUAUUUUUAACAGAUAAAGCGUAUGAAAGAUAUAUAUUUAUGUGAAACUUCGAAAAUCAUGUACCUUGUGCAAACAUUGCAACAUAUCCUAAUCAUUGCAAGCGAAACAAGCGAGAAUAACCAAAAGCAAAAUGUACAACUAAAUCCGUUCAAAGAAAAAAAACGAAAGUCUGGCAAGGACAAUCUUUUACGUAUUUAAAUUUAUACUGACGUAAGAUACACACUUUGCAAAGAGCAAAUUGAACAUAUGAAUUUCACCUGACGCAUCAUGAAAAAA